AUGCAUGAGUUAACUAAGGAAAACAUUGAGCGCAUGAAUGCUAAAUAUAAACUUGCUGGAGAUAAGGGUAGAAAACAUGUUGUGUUUGCACCUGGAGAUCUUGUUUGGUUACAUUUGCGUAAGGAUAGAUUUCCUGAUUUGCGCAAAUCAAAGUUAAUGCCACGUGCUGAUGGUCCCUUUAAGGUGUUAGAGAAAAUAAAUGAUAAUGCAUAUAAACUUGAGCUGCCUGCAGAUUUUGGGGUUAGUCCCACUUUUAACAUUGCAGACUUGAAGCCUUAUUUGGGUGAGGAAGAUGAACUUCCGUCGAGGACGACUUCAUUUCAAGAAGGGGAGGAUGAUGAGGACAUCAAUACAAUUGUUACACCCACAGCCCCUGCUGCUAUACAUACUGGACCAAUUACUAGAGCUCGUGCACACCAACUAAAUUACCAGGAAACAGACCCUCGUGGUCAGGUUGAUCGUGCUCCGGCGUGGUCAAUAACCUCUCGGAGUUGGUUUAGCGAUUGCUAA
rnacentral:rRNA from 1 species